rnacentral:rRNA from 1 species
GACGAACGCUGGCGGCGUGCCUAAUACAUGCAAGUAGGACGCAGUUGCGAACGGGUGAGUAACGCGUAGGUAACUGCCUAUUAGAGGGGGAUAACUAUUGGAAACGAUAGCUAAUACCGCAUACUAGUAGAUGGACCUGCGUUGUAUUAGCUAGUAGGUAGGGUAAUGGCCUACCUAGGCGACGGUACAUAGCCGACCUGGGAGGGUGGUCGGCAACAAUGGGACUGAGACACGGGCCAGACUCCUACGGGAGGCAGCAGUAGGGAAUCUUCGGCAAUGGGGGGAACCCUGGCCGGGCAACGCCGCGGGAGUGAAGAAGGUUUUCGGAUCGUAAAACUCUGUUGUUAAGGAAGCGGUACUUAACCAGAAAGGGACGGCUAACUCCGUGCCAGCAGCCGCGGUAAUUC